rnacentral:lncRNA from 1 species
GUUCUUGAUGAUCGAGAUUCCGAAUCGAUGAUCGGAGCCGUUGAAGUUGAUCUAGAGUAUUUGAAAUAUCUAGAAACUAAAUUUCAUAAAUUUUGAUAAUGGUUUUGUCACGCCCCAGGGUCCCUUUUAGUUUAAAACAUAGCGGAAAAGCGUCUGAAAUUUUUUUUUUUUUUUUGAAAGCGUGACCCAAGAGUGUUGCCGAUCCGGCCACAAAUACAGGGUAUCACUGUUCACGCGGACAGAUGUCUUUCCCCUGUAUUUGCACGCGUCAACAGAAGAUCAUAGUAAGUUAACCAAGUACACACAACAAUGAACAUACAAAUAACCAUUUAUAUAAUUUUACUGCACCAUUCACAUCACAGUUCACAUUUUAUUUUCUUGUAUUUAAUAUAAAUCACAUCUAUCAGUAAAAUAUUUCCACCUGAGAAACUAGGUUUGACAAUACUAAGAUACAAAAAUCCACAGAAAACUUUUGAAAACGUAUUACUAACACAGGAAACUUUAUUCUUAAAAAACGCUACGCGAUGGGGGGGUUAUGAAACCUUUUAUUUUAAAAAAUUCGGAAAUCUAUUUAUUACAUUCAUGAAAAUUCAUAUUUUUAAUGUAAUAAAAUACUGAACAUUCUAACUAUCUAAGCCUAUAAUCACUGAAAUAAUAAGGGUAGUAACAUAUACGAAAUAAAACAAAAUCCUCUGAGGUGGAACUCUCAUCGACCGCUACUACCGUACCUACGUCUCGUCCAUAUCUCACGCCGCUGAUUACCUAGAUAAAAUUGCGUGGUGGGAGGUGGCAAUGUAAACAUUGCUUUCCCCAGUGAAAAAAAACGGAUUACGCAAGCGUAUAAAGGUUGUUGUACUCACCGGGAUCAGGAUAGAGCCAAAAAAUAAAAUAUAAUAAAGUACGAACUCGUCAGUGGGAAUUACAGUUAGGAACAAAUAGUAAACGUAUAGAGAUGUAUAUUGGAAUGAGCUAGCAUAUACUAAAUUACAUAGCAAAUAAAUGAACGAGUAGCAGGAGCUAGACUGAGAUAAUGUGCUUACGCUACUGCUAACUAGGACAGGAUAGCAUAUAUGAAUAUCAUAUAGUAGCAACAACUAUAAGUAGCAUCUGUAAGUAUGAUUGCACGACUGCUACUAUAAACAUAUGCGUCAAUGGGACAAUCUAGUCCAAAAGUACCCUCUGAUAUACCAAUGCCUCUCUGGUCAGCCACGCAGACCUCAAGGCAAUGCCCUGUGCAGGUCGCCCACCGCCAACACUCCCAACAGUUACCACUGCCGCUAUAACAUGCAUAUAACCCUCUUAGGUCUCAGAGUUGAUCACCAUUCAACACUUUUUUUCUGGAAAGAACAUCCCUUUCUCCCUUUCCCCUCCCCCCCUUCCCCCCACCUUCACACUCCCCCAUUCGGCUGGCUCAGACGCGGUUAGCGAAAGUUUCGCUGUAAAUCGACGAGUAUUCGUCGAGCUGGAUCAUGCAAUAUGCGUCAAAGAUCAACGUCGCACAGCGACAUCUGCCCCAGGGCUUAUCGACCGCAUGUAGGUCAUCAACUGUAAUCGAAGCACAACGCACCACUCAGCAACAGUCAACUCUAGAUUAGGCUAUGAAACAUCUGAUAUCCUCUCAAACAUAUGCAAUAAUUGCUUCAAUGAACCACAAGAACUUGAACAUCAGUCAACUAGGAUAUGAAGCUCGACACACGUCACUAGUACAGGAUAUGAAACUCGACAAUCAUGUCAGCAAUAUAGUCGAUAUGAAACUCGACAAUCUAUGUCACAAGUAUUAGCGAUAUUGAAAACUCGACCAAUCAUGUCACAAGUAUAGGAUAUGAGUAAAGUAUAAUCAUCCGUCGGCAACUAACCGACAAUCCCACCCCUCAGGGUAUACCGACCUCAACGGUCAUCAGACAACAAAGGUCGAGGAACUCACCGAAUAGAUCACAAAUACUGAAUACUAGAAUUGACCGACUAGAUCGCUAAUCUCACAGAUAAUCACAGAAUCGCUCUACUAUAAAUAUGAAACAGGGUAUGCAGAAUAGCUAAGUAGAGCAACAAGGAAACUUGGUAUCAUAUACAGAUAGACUAUACUCCUACACAUGAUACUAAGCAUGAAAACAUCUGAGUAGAGUAUAAUCAAACAACGUGGGUGUCAUGUAAACAAUAGAGGUGCAAAGCUCAACAUAUAAUAUAAGCAUGAAUAAUAACAAAAGAGCAAGGGUAAGAAACCAUCACCGAGCGUGCACCACUGUACCAACGUCAGAUCGAAGUACCCACCUGUACAAGUCUGGAUCAGAUCUCACGACGGCGGGGAACAGAGCAACCGGACCUACGAAGGGUCCACAAGGUCAGAAGGAAACCCUAAUGUCAGCAACUAAUAUAAAAUCCCCAAACAAGGAACCACGGGAAUCGGUUUCCCAAGACCGAUUGCCGAAUCACAUCAGGUGUCCCGAAUAUCGCACCGGGGCUUCGCUGGGGUCCACUAAUUGUCCCGGAACUCCCCAACUCCAACUGGGAGUCAACCGCUGCCACUAAUACUCUACAAUAACCCACAUUGGCAGCAAACACCACACUUCGCCUCGGAACAGACAUCGUUGACUAAACGUCUCGAAUCGGGUUCCCGAAAGUGUCGUUUUUGACACCGGGACCCACCAGUCGCUCACCCGUCGUUUCCGAACCCCCGAAAGGACACGGGUGACCUGCCAAGAAGGCUUAGCGACAUCACAACUGAUCCCGAGGCAUCGUCGGAUAAAAACCGAACUAAGAUCGCAUUCCGUCGACGAAUUUCGCCGCGAAACGCCCCGAAAGAGGCUUUUCGAUCUCUCCAGUGGCUUGGGGCCUUGGACGAUCAGUCCAGAGGUUACCCUCAGCGUUUACACGCUGUCCACAGCGACCGAGUCGAAGUUAUUUGCAAGAAAGCACAUCAUGAACCCUAAAAUCUAUCAUUUUAUGCGAUUUUCGACAGUUUUAAUGGCCCGAUCUUGCGAUACGAGGUUCGCUGGAUCAACCGUCGCACCCGCUGAUAGGUUUCAGCGUGCCGGAGACCGUGCUCUCCAUUCGGAGCACAUUCGGCGACGGCGGUGCGCGCACAAGCGACGCGAAGGUCAGCGAUGCAGCGCGCACCGCAGGAAGAUCGCGGUUGCCCGAGCAACCAAGGCAUCGCAGGGCUCGACGGAAGUGAGCACGACGUUCAGCACGACCUAAGGAUCAUCGUGCUCACUUCCCGAGGUCAAAAAGACCAUUCGGAUUGCCGGAAUAGUUACCGGAAAGUGGGAAAACAGUGCUGGAAUGCAUAAAUGGACACUCACAGUGAGGGAGGAGCUAGGGUUGGCCGCCGACGGCCGGGAGGCGGGCGGUCCGGCCGGAGAUGGAAGCAGUCGGUCCGAGAGGUCCGGGGAUGGUGCUGGCCGGCGGCGGGAGGCAACCGGUGGCGCGGCGGAGGAGAUCGACUCCACCCAAUCCUUCUCGGGUUCGAUCUUUCCGGCGGCGCGGCGGCGGCCGGAGGAGGUCGGGGCGGCAACUAACCGGCGGCGGAGGCCGAAGGGGAGGUGGUGCUCCCCCCCAUAGGCGGUGGCGACGCGCGGAGGCCACGAAGGCUCAGCCUCGGCCCGCAUAGCGUCUGGGCGGUUACAGGAGCUUCGGGCUGCGGCCGGCGGUGGUCGGGGAUGGCCGGGGACGCGCGCCGGAGGUAGCCGGAGGGUGAGGAAUGACGGCGCGGCCGAUCUGGAGUGGCGGCGGCGCGCGGGCCUCGAGCCCACCCGAGCUCGGUCUGGGCUGACCGUGGUGGCCGCAGGGAGCAGAGGCAGCGCCGGCGGCGCACGGGAGCGGCAGGGGCCGGCGGUGACGACGCCGGGGAAGCCGGCAUAGUAGUCCAAGGCCGACGGGGCCCAUGGAGGCGGUGCGGGACCAGGCUCGGCCAGAUCUAGGUCAGGCUCGGCCGCAGGGCGUCCAGGCCGCGACGGCGGCGCGUGGGGACGGCGGCAGCCUGCACGGCGGGACGACGGAGGUCGGGGCCGCUGCCAGAGGUGGUGCUCGACCGUGAUGACACUCCUGGGUUGCCCUCGGACAGAAAUGGAGGAGGUUGAUGGAUUGGUUGAGAGAGAAGGAUGGAGGAGGUGGCCGGGUUCUAGACUUCCGGCGACUGGGGAACCUGCCGGCGGCCGGGGUGCGAGCAUGGCUAGGGCAGGGCUAUCUGAGGUCGGCUAGGGUUAGUUGAGGGAACUAGGUCGGCUAAAUCUAGGGUUUCAUGCAUGGAAACCCUAGAUGCACCUUAUAUACCUAGUGUACAAUUGUAGAUAGCUCCCCCGAAGUUAUAUAAUUCUAACCCAGUGCUUUACAGUAGGUAAAUACUGCACAUACGCACCUUCACAUUCGAUCUCAAGCGAUUCGGUACAUAAAAUACAAUGACUUUUGCGAAGUUUCCGAUUUGCCACCUUCGACCCCUUAGUGAACAACAUGCAAUAUCCGACAAUCCGUUCAUCGGAUUUCCGAACGGAUCGCACCAUCACGUUCAGCACAACGAGGGCAUCCAAACUACCAUCUUGUUUUGUCAGAUUUGGUCACGGAUUCGUGACGGAACCCACCCGCUCUCUAAUUAAUCCGUAUAUCGCGCAUAUACCGAAGUAUAAACCCUAAAACUUUUAAUCCAAAUUCAAAUUUGAAUUCCCUACCACCAGUAGGUACCAGAAACAACUCUCACCUAAUCCCAGAUCACAAGCACAGAGCACGAGGAGUUUUAAAAUGCACGAAUAGCAAAGAGCGUAAACCCUCUUUUUGUUAAAACUCCUUUUUCUCGAAAACCGUGCAUCGGAUCCGAAAUCCGUCAGUGCCAUUGGUUCCAGAAUAGCUGAACCGUUUAAAACGAGCUAUUGGAUUGCUAUGAACGGAGUCCGAUACGCGCCGAAAGCCAGCUCUACUCCGUGGCUUCACCGAAAAACCGGAGUUACUAUUCACUUAAGUGAAAACUAAUAAUCGCUUAACUUCUCUGUUUUAGCUCAGUUUCUCCUGAAACUUGACGAGUGCUUAUGUAAUUAAAUUACACACAUAAACAUCGUCAACAGAGAGUUUAGUAGCACUGAAAAAAAAUCUCAGUCCUUAUAGGUUUACAUGGUGAUCAAAGUGUCGUAAAAUCGACAAUUUUUGAUGGCCUAUAUGAGCCGUUUGCUUGUUUAACAGUGUAAAGCAAUCCAAAUUGCUUGAAUUUUUGAUAGAAAAUUCUUUAUACUAUUUAGAUAAUGUUUGAUAACUCUGAUUACGAACUGAGAAAGUCUAACCUCCAUUUUAAGAAG